CUAGCGUGCAUAUACGAAGUUUUAUCCACUGCCGACAUGCUACGUAGUCGAUAAGCUUCACCUCUGCCAAGCGCGGAACAACCUACACCAAGUCCUAAAGUGUUGUGAUACUUGCUACGCAACCUACGGAAUUGAAGAAAGUCAAGGUUAACAGCCUAGUGGUUACGCGGACUUGUCUGCUUCUGUAAGUAAGGCAUCCGGUUGCCAACCCUAUGGCUAACAACUUUGCAAAGUUCUACACCAACACCUACGGCUGCAUAGGCUACGCGAGCUUGUCUGCUUAUAAAAAAGUAGCAUGCCUGCCACUGGUCUAUCAAGUCUAAAGGUUAAAGCGUGAACAAAAGAAGCGAAGAUGAAGGAAAACAUGUUUAUAAACAACUAGCAAAGGCCGAAUGAGUUCAAGAAAAACAAGAGCUACAAGGAAAAACAAAGAAAAUCCUAAAGGCUACGUAGAAUACUACA
rnacentral:lncRNA from 1 species